CGGGGAGGGGGCUAGGAACCAAGUCCAGGAGGCCUCAGGAAAAGAAGGGGAAGGGACCGAGCCGGACUCCACAGCAUUUGCUUUGCACCCGCUGUGUACGCAGAGUGCCGGAGAAGUUGGGCGUGAUGGGGGAGACUCGGACAGAGGACGCGCACCCUCCCUACNCCACUCACGGACCCCGGAGGGGCCCCCACAACAGCCCCCAGCCACCCCCAACCUGGCCUCCAGCAUCUCUCUCUGCCGAGUCCUUGCCUCUCCCCCGAGGAGAGCGGAGCCUCCAAUCAGGCCCUGGGAAAGCAAUUUUUCAAUCUCCAACUGCAAACACUAAUACCGCUGAAGCUAAUUUUACAGAUUUCCACUUCGAGGCCUUGCCUUUGUCCCAGAAUCCCUCAGCCCGGGAGAUUAGCAGUUUAGAGACUGGAAAAAAUAAGGGAGACGUCAAAGCCGCCAGGACCAGUCAAAGUAAUAUGCCUGCGACCGGCACAUGGACUUUUAUUUCUUCUCCCUCCACGCUCCAGAGCUGCUCCUGCGGCGUGGAGAGAUAAAUAUUUUAAAUAGCGACACUUUGGCGAUGCACGGUUAUGCAAGACAAGGAAUAAUUAGAAAAUAAAUUACUUUUUUUAAACACAGCGUUACAAACAUCGGGUGCAUCAGAUUACUGUUCUCUGCAGGCCAGGGCCACACGGCUCAGGGAGGCCAGCGCAACAAGGACCUCAGGGAGCAAGCACACACCAGCCUGUCCCCACAGCCCCCAGAUGGUGACACCCCUCCCGCCUGCUCUGGGAGGCUCCCAGAAUCGAGCUGAAGACCACACUUGGCAGCUUCCAGAAGAUCUCGGCGAUGGAAAGGCUUCCUCCGGCGUCUCACCAGCAGUAGCGCAGACUAAAAAUAGUUUAAUCUCCUUGAAAGCAAAAGGAGCAAUCAGCAAAACAGACACUUGGGCCCACAUCCUCCCCCCAUUCCUCUCCUCGUUCUGCCCCCAUCCAUCCAAGCUGUCCCCAGCUAUGCAUCGUCAACUUCUACCCAUCCCAGGAUAGUGCCCCACAGCCUCUGAGGAGGGCAGCUAUUGCCCAUCGUCCAGGACUCCUCAUGCCUGCAGCCCUACAUAUACACAGCAUGUGUCCUUUAAACCUUGUGACACCCCAGAAGGGAGGCAAGACAGGAAAUGUUAGCCCUGCUUCACAGAUGAAGAAACUGAGGCAUAGAGAAGUGGAGUCAUUUGCCUGAGGCUAGCAAUGGUAGACAAGGGCUGUGUGCAAAUGGAGUGGCUCAGCCUCUGCAGAAAGGAGGUAGGUAGCUUUUAAUUAGCACCUAGCCUGAGUUCUGGUUGGCUCCCAAGACACAAAAGCUGCCCAGGGCAAGAAGAGGCAAGGGCUGGUAGAGUGGGGGAGGGGAGAGGCUCACACAUUUCAAGGAUGGAGUCAGCUCCAUUCACAGCUGAGUGGGUCUAUCACACAGAUGUGUCUUGCCCACUGCAGCCAGACCAACAUUGUGACUUCACAAUUUUCACUCACUGGCCUGGGAUAGGGUCUGGAUCCUGUGUUCUGGCUCAAGCUUGCUAGGUGGCUGAGAGUCUGUCCCAACCUUCUCUGGGCCUCAAUUUUCCAAGAGAUUGGCCAAGGCAGUCAGAACGACCGUUGUCCCCAGGGAUCCCUGCUUAGGACCCACCAGGAACCCUGCUGCCCUCCCAGGCCUGCCCCUCACACACUCUGCCCUUUCUCACUCAGUCCUACUUCUCAGCAUCUGUCUACCUGCCCUCCUUUCGUGCCUAACUGCCUGAACUAGGAACACGGAUAGUGUCCUGUUCCACCGCCUGGUUUUACAAGAGAAAACUCAGACAGGGAGGGGAAGGUCAUGCAUAUGAGGCUACCCCUGGAAAGGUCAGAGGAGGCAGAGCAGAUCAGGACCCAGAUUCUGAUCCCAGUUUCACACCCUUCAUAACACUCCUUGUGGCUCCCCCAAGGACAGUACUGUCUGUUCAGAGUUCACUAGUGGAAUGAAGCCCCCAAAUAAAAUGAUAAACUGGAGCCAGGUGUGGAGGCUCAUGCCUAUAAUCCCAGCACUUUGGGAGGCCGAGGCA
rnacentral:lncRNA from 1 species